UACAGAGGGUGCAAGCGUUGUUCGGAAUUAUUGGGCGUAAAGCGCGUGUAGGCGGCCAGGCAAGUUAGGUGUGAAAGCCCUCGGCUUAACCGAGGAAGUGCGCCUAAAACUACUUGGCUUGAGUACCGGAGAGGACGGUGGAAUUCCCGGUGUAGAGGUGAAAUUCGUAGAUAUCGGGAGGAACACCAGCGGCGAAGGCGACCGUCUGGACGGAUACUGACGCUGAGACGCGAAAGCGUGGGGAGCAAACAGG
rnacentral:rRNA from 1 species